GACGAACGCUGGCGGCGUGCUUAACACAUGCCAGUCGAACGGUGAAGCGCCUUCCUUUUUGGUGGGUGUGGAUGAGUGGCGAACGGGUGAGUAACACGUGAGUAACCUGCCCCCUUCUUCUGGAUAACCGCAUGAAAGUGUGGCUAAUACGGGAUAUUCUGGGUCUGUCGCAUGAUGGGUCUGGGAAAGAUAUUGUUUCGGUGGGGGAUGGGCUCGCGGCCUAUCAGCUUGUUGGUGGGGUGAUGGCCUACCAAGGCGGUGACGGGUAGCCGGCCUGAGAGGGUGGACGGCCAGACUGGGAAUGAGACACGGCCCAGACUGAUACGGGAGGCAGCAGUGGGUAAUAUUGCACGAUGGGGGCAAGCCUGAUGCAGCGACGCCGCGUGAGGGAUGGAGGCCUGCGGGUUGUGAACCUCUUGCGCCAGUGAAGCAGGCCUGCCUCGUUUGUGGGUGGGUUGACGGUAGCUGGAGAAGAAGCGCCGGCUAACUACGUG
rnacentral:rRNA from 1 species